rnacentral:rRNA from 1 species
UAGCACUAUACAGUGAAACUGCGAAUGGCUCAUUAAAUCAGUUAUCGUUUAUUUGAUAGUACGACUACAUGGAUAACCGUGGUAAUUCUAGAGCUAAUACAUGCACAAACCUCCUCGGAGGUGUAUUUAUUAGAUAAAAACCAACCUCGUCUUGGUGAUUCAUGAUAACUUUUCGAAGCGCACGCCUUCGUGCAGGCGCUGGUUCAUUCAAAUUUCUGCCCUAUCAACUUUCGAUGGUACGGUAGUGGCCUACCAUGGUAACAACGGGUAACGGGGAAUUAGGGUUCGAUUCCGGAGAGGGAGCCUGAGAAACGGCUACCACAUCCAAGGAAGGCAGCAGGCGCGCAAAUUACCCAAUCCUGACACAGGGAGGUAGUGACAAUAAAUAACGAUACAGGGCCUUUGGUCUUGUAAUCGGAAUGAGAACAAUUUAAACCACUUAUCGAGGAACAAUUGGAGGGCAAGUCUGGUGCCAGCAGCCGCGGUAAUUCCAGCUCCAAUAGCGUAUGUUAAAGUUGUUGCAGUUAAAAAGCUCGUAGUUGAACCUCGCCGCCGGCUCCGGGUCCCCCUCACGGGGUGUACUCGGCGCUUGCGGCUUUGCUCUACAAGUUUGUGCGUUCGCGUGCAUUCAUUGUGGAGCGUUUACUGUGAGAAAAUUAGAGUGUUCAAAGCAGGCGUUUCGCUCGAAUACGUUAGCAUGGAAUAAUAGAAUAGGACGAGGGUUCUAUUUUGUUGGUUCUAGGACCGUCGUAAUGAUUAAUAGGGAUGGUCGGGGGCAUCAGUAUUCAGUAGUAAGAGGUGAAAUUCUUGGAUUUACUGAAGACUAACUGCUGCGAAAGCGUUUGCCAAGGACAUCUUCAUUAAUCAAGAACGAAAGUUAGGGGAUCGAAGACGCUUAGAUACCGUCGUAGUCUUAACCGUAAACUAUGCCGACUCUGAAUCGGCCCCUUGAAUUUUAUGGGGGGUCGGCGCAGUGUGAGAAAUCAAAGUUUUUAGGUUCUGGGGGGAGUAUGGUCGCAAGGCUGAAACUUAAAGGAAUUGACGGAAGGGCACCACCAGGAGUGGAGCCUGCGGCUUAAUUUGACUCAACACGGGGAAACUCACCAGGUCCAGACUUCUGUAGGAUUGACGCAUUGGCGAUGCUUCAUGAUUAGAAGGGUGGUGGUGCAUGGCCGUUCUUAGUUCGUGACGUAAGUUGUCUGCUUUAUUGCGAUAACGAGCGAGACCUCGGCCGCUAGUUGCCGGAGCCCACACUUUGUGGGUGUUCGGCUCUUAGCGGGACUACCGGAGACAAUUCGGGGGAGGUUCGAGGCAAUAACAGGUCUGUGAUGCCCUUAGACGUUCUGGGCCGCACGCGCGCUACACUGACGCAGCCAGCGAGUUUUGGCCUUUUCCGAAAGGAAUGGGUAAUCUUGUUAAACUGCGUCGUGCUGGGGAUAGAGCUUUGCAAUUUUUGCUCUUGAACGAGGAAUUCCUAGUAAGCGCAAGUCAUCAGCUUGCGUUGAUUACGUCCCUGCCCUUUGUACACACCGCCCGUCGUUACUACCGAUUGAAUGGCUUAGUGAGGUCCCAGGAGAGUUUGUGCACGAGGGCAACCUCUAGCGCGGAUUCGAAUUAGAUCAAACUUGGUCAUUUAGAGGAAGUACAAGUCGUAACAAGGUUUCCGUAGGUGAACCUGCGGAAGGAUCAUUACUGAAGGCUACACGCCGACAUUGUGAAAAGCCUCUCGGGGCAUUGCUUGGGCGUCGCAAGGCGUCCAACUUUUAAACUCUUAUGUUUAUCUCUGACAACCAAGAAAUUUAAAACUUUCAACAACGGAUCUCUUGGUUCUCGCAUCGAUGAAGAACGCAGCAAAGCGCGAUAGGUAAUGCGAAUUGCACACGUGAGUCAUUGAAUCUUUGAACGCACAUUGCGCCAUCAGGUUCUCCUGAUGGCAUGCUUGUUGGAGCGCCGAUCUUUCUCUCACACCAUCUUGUGUGGUGCGAGGUACUGCUCCUCUUAGGAGUUAAAAGAAUGGAAGUGCACACGUUAGAUAACUCUGUGCAGUUACACUUACAAUCUUUGGCCCCCAAUCAAGCAAGGCUGC